GAGGGUGUUGCUCAGUGGUAGAGCGUGUGCUCAGCAUGCACAAGGUCCUGGGUUCAAUCCCCAGUCCCUCCA
rnacentral:tRNA from 1 species